rnacentral:rRNA from 1 species
GACGAACGCUGGCGGCGUGCCUAAUACAUGCAAGUAGAACGCUGAAGGAGGAGCUUGCUUCUCUGGAUGAGUUGCGAACGGGUGAGUAACGCGUAGGUAACCUGCCUGGUAGCGGGGGAUAACUAUUGGAAACGAUAGCUAAUACCGCAUAACAGUAGAUAUCGCAUGAUAUCUACUUGAAAGGUGCAAUUGCAUCACUACCAGAUGGACCUGCGUUGUAUUAGCUAGUUGGUGAGGUAACGGCUCACCAAGGCGACGAUACAUAGCCGACCUGAGAGGGGGAUCGGCCACACUGGGACUGAGACACGGCCCAGACUCCUACGGGAGGCAGCAGGAGGGAAUCUUCGGCAAUGGACGGAAGUCUGACCGAGCAAUGCCGCGUGAGUGAAGAAGGUUUUCGGAUCGUAAAGCUCUGUUGUAAGAGAAGAACGAGUGUGAGAGUGGAAAGUUCACACUGUGACGGUAUCUUACCAGAAAGGGACGGCUAACUACGUG